CUGAUUUGCGUGAGGGAGAAGAAUGGGUCGGGACGUGUGUGUCAUCGGCGUGUGAAUGAAACGAGAGAAUAUGAUGGGAAUGGAUAUUUUAAGUUUAGGAAAAAAUAGGGAUUGUAGUUUGGGCUUCGGCCCACCACUUGGUAGUUAAAGACCAAAUAGCGACAGCUUAUGAUAGUCACUAAUUGGCUAUUAAAUUAAAUGCCUUCUCUCUCUGGUCCCUUAGAUUUAUUCCAUUUUCUCAGACGAGCUCGAAUGUCUGCAAUGGCGGCUUGCACUGUGAAUGUGCUCAGGUGACUGGCUCCAGCGACUCUGCUUCAUCGACGUGCUGCGUGGUGCUCAGCCUUGGAAGAAGGCUAUGCUCAUCUAUUUGAAGAGAAGUGCAUAUGAGAAGUAUAUAGAAAAUUACUACCUCCUUAUAUAAGUUUCAGAAAGUCUUGAUCCCAGUUUUGCAAGAGACAGGUAGGUUACACAAGGCAAUCUCAUCUGAUGUUGGGUGAUUUCAUUAAGGUACUUUCCAAUUUACUGUAUAAUCUUAAUCUGUCAUUGGUGAGAACAAAAUUCUUGGGUAUAAUUGU